CAGAAGAGGAACUUGAGUUGCCACUGAGCACUGGCGCCAGAAACAAUGGACAAGAUACUGGGAGCAUCAUUUUUGAUUCUGUGGCUUCAGCUAGUCUGGGUGAAUGGACAACAGAAGGAAACAAGUGACCAACAGCAGGUGAAACAGAGCCCUCAGUCUUUGCCAGUCCAGGAAGGAGAGAUUUCCAUUCUGAACUGUAGUUAUGAGAACAGUUGGUUUGACUACUUCCUGUGGUACCAACAAUAUCCUGGUAAAGGCCCUGCAUUCUUGAUGGCCAUACGUUCAGUUGUGAAUGAAAUGAAGGAUGGAAGACUCACAGUUUUCCUUAAUAAGAGUGCCAAACAGCUCUCAUUGCACCUCGCAACUCCCCAGCCUGGAGACUCAGCCACCUACUUCUGUGCAGCAAGUGCACAGUGCUCCCCAGGCACCUGCAGCCUGUACCCAAACCUGCAGCCGAGGCUCCAGACACACCCUGCUGUGCAGAUGAAACACACACACAAUUUGUUUGUGCAUAAAAGUCUUAAUAUAUUUAAGACUACUGAAAUUAUACAGAAUUUAUUCUUUCAUCAAAAUGGAAUUGAUACAGAAAAUCAGUUGUUAAAAGAUGUCUCUAAAAGCUCCCAAACAUUUGGAAUACAUGCACUAACUUAAAAAUAACCAUGGGUUACAGAAACAAUUACAAU